rnacentral:rRNA from 1 species
AUUGAACGCUGGCGGCAUGCUUUACACAUGCAAGUCGAACGGUAACAGGCCGCAAGGUGCUGACGAGUGGCGAACGGGUGAGUAAUGCAUCGGAACGUGCCCAGUCGUGGGGGAUAACGCAGCGAAAGCCGCGCUAAUACCGCAUACGAUCUAUGGAUGAAAGCGGGGGGCCGUAAGGCCUCGCGCGAUUGGAGCGGCCGAUGUCAGAUUAGGUAGUUGGUGGGGUAAAGGCCCACCAAGCCAACGAUCUGUAGCUGGUCUGAGAGGACGACCAGCCACACUGGGACUGAGACACGGCCCAGACUCCUACGGGAGGCAGCAGUGGGGAAUUUUGGACAAUGGGCGCAAGCCUGAUCCAGCAAUGCCGCGUGCAGGAAGAAGGCCUUCGGGUUGUAAACUGCUUUUGUACGGAACGAAACGGUUCUGGUUAAUACCUGGGGCUGAUGACGGUACCGUAAGAAUAAGCACCGGCUAACUACGUGCCAGCAGCCGCCGUAAUAC